GCCAGGUGCAGUGGCUCACACCUGUAAUCUCAGCACUUAGGGAGGCUGAGCCGGGUGGAUCAUCUGAGGUAGGGAGUUUAAGACCAGCCUGACCAAAAUGGAGAAACUCCAUUUAAUUUAUUUAUUUUAUUUUAUUUUAUUUUAUUUUANNNNNNNNNNUAAAAUAAAAUAAAAUAAAAUAAAAUAAAUAAAUUAAAUGGAGUUUCUCCAUUUUGGUCAGGCUGGUCUUAAACUCCCUACCUCAGAUGAUCCACCCGGCUCAG
rnacentral:SRP_RNA from 1 species